UACGUAGGGGGCAAGCGUUGUCCGGAUUUAUUGGGCGUAAAGCGCUCGCAGGUGGUUCGAUGCGUCGUGCGUGAAAGACCCCGGCUCAACUGGGGAGGGUCGUGCGAUACGGUCGAACUGGAGGCCAGUAGGGGGAUGCGGAAUUCCGGGUGUAGUGGUGGAAUGCGUAGAGAUCCGGAGGAACACCGAUGGCGAAGGCAGGUCUCUGGGCAUUAACUGACGCUGAGGAGCGAAAGCAUGGGGAGCGAACAGG
rnacentral:rRNA from 1 species